rnacentral:tRNA from 1 species
CGCGGCCUGGUCGGGGCCCGGGGCCUGCGGCGUCUCCGGGGUGCCGGGGGCCGGGCUCACCUCCGGCGCGGGCUCGGCGCCCGUGCCGGUGG